rnacentral:lncRNA from 1 species
CCCAAAUUGACAUUCUUAUGAAUUUUCUCUAAUUGUCUGUUACUGAAAAUGAAACAUUGAAGUCUCCAGCUACUAUCAUUGAGUUGGUCUGUACCUCCCUUCCAUUCCUUCCUUUGGAAGUCUGUUGUGGGUACAGGUAUGUGGGUACAGGUAUGUGGGUACAGGUAUGUGUAUACAGGUAUGUGGGUACAGGUAUAUGGGUACAUGUAUGUGAGUACAUGUAUGUGGGUACAGGUAUGUGGGUACAGAUAUGUGGGUACAGGUAUGUGUGUACAGGUAUGUGGGUACAGGUAUAUGGGUACAUGUAUGUGAGUACAUGUAUGUGGGUACAGGUAUGUGGGUACAUAUAUGUGGGUACAUGUAUGUUCGUUAUUGUAAACUAUUCUUCUUACCUUGGCUCUUUAUUAUUAUUUGUCUCUAAUAACUUUUUUUUCUUAAAGUCUAUUUUGUCUUACAUUUUCUUUAAAUUUUAUGAUGAUGUGAAAGUCAUAUACAUUCAAUAGAAAAUGGACAUCAAUUCUGGAAUUAGAGGCCAGAAGAGGGCAUCAAAUCCCCUGAACCUAGAACUGUUGUCCGCCACCAUGUGGGUGCUAAAAAUCAAACCCCAGGGUUCCAAAAGAGCAGUCGGCGCUCUUAACUGGUGAGCCAUCUCUUCCGCCUCUACUUGUGGUUUUUAAUCUAAAGUAUCUCUCCCAUAGACAGCAUAGAAUUGAAUAAUUUUAACCUUUCUGCCAAAUUUGGCCAUUUAGUUGGAGAACUUAUUCCGUUCAAUCUACUAUAAUGAAUUACAGGCUACUGUAAGGCUCAUGGCUGCCUUUAUUCUAUUUGCUUUACCUCUGUCAUGUCUCUCCUGAUCCCCCGAGGUGUUAAAUAUUCUUAUAUAUCAUUUCUGUUUCCUUUUGAUACUUUAACCUUUUCUUGUUAUUUUUGGGUUUUUUUUGUUUGUUUUUUUUUGUUUUUUUUUUUUGUUUUUUUAGUGCUUGGUCUGAGAGUUAUAAUUAAUACCUCAAUUUACAACAGUCUAAUUCACACUAACAACAGAGUAAUCCAACUACAAUACAGACAUUCUAUUCCUAUAUUGCUCCCCUCUCUUUAUAAUUUGUAAUAUUAUUUACAUACAAGUUACAUUUUUAUGCACUGUAGGCCAAUGAACACAAUGAAUGUUGCUUUGUGACGUUUUCUUUAAAAUUGUACAGAAGAAACACAGUGAAAGACUCUACUCUUUCAUUCCAUUUGUUUUGUUUUGUUUUGUUUUGUUUUGUUUUGUUUUGUUUUGUUUUAAUACAAACUCAAAG